AAGAAAAAAAAAAGGAGGAAAAAAAACCAAAACAACCAACCUUCUAAUAUAAUGUGUAUAAUGUACAUUUUGACUAUGGCAUUUCUCUUUGUGUAAUUAACUUUGAGCUUGUGGUACUGCAGGAAGAGAAGACGAUGUUAAUGGGCGAGAGGUAGCGAAAUGAACAGCAACACAGUCGCAGCCUGCUGAGGGGUCUGGGAGAUUGCAUAGGCUGCCCAAGAUGGGGGCGUGGCACAGCCCUGUCCUGUAGGUCUCACUGGAUGUGGGAGUGAAUCCCAGUAACACGCUGCUCUGGUGUACCGAAGUGAGCAGGAAGCCUCCGUGUGUCUCCCACAACUCUCUCAGCGCUGGCCUUCCAGGUCGAGGUUAGGUUUAAACACGCAGGUUGGUGAACAGGAAUGGGGUCCUUGUCCCACCCAUCACCCCCCUCACGCUCCAUGGAAAGGACCAGGCUUCAACCUGCUGCCCACCCACAGUCCUGUGCAAUCCCAGCACAUCCCCGGAGAGCAGACAGGCACACCCUUUUCAUCUGAAGUGCAUUUCUUUUUCAGGAAAAAAAAAAACAAAAGCAAGAGUAUGAAUUACAUGAAUUACAUCAACGGCUGCAAAUUGAAAUGUUGGGUUGGUAAUAAAAUUAAAUAAAACUUAUACCUAUAUCUAUAUAAACAGUUCUAUCUAUAAACGCAUUUCUUAACUGAGAGACCUGGAAGACGUUGUUAAAAACCUUGCUUUUUUUAAAAGUGUUUCCAAGAGGAAGAUAAUUUCUUCUAUCAAGAAACAGGUGCUGUACAGAAAAAUCCGUGACUUCGCUAGCAUCAGCCAAACCCAGGCAGUCAGCACAGCACAGACUGAGGGGCUGCCAGCAUACCGGAGUGCUUCCUGCUGCCCUGGGACAGGGAGGUGGUGGCUGCAGGUGAGGGCAAAGCAGCAGGAAUUAGGCUGUCAUGGAUGGAACACGUGUUAUCACUAUAGCAGCUUUCUUAGGCUCACUGUGUGGGAGAGGGUGCAGGGGGACGAGCAUCUGUGACUGCCAAUUGCAUGGUGACUUUGGUGCCCUCGAUGCACGGCGGAGACCUGUGCCAAGCUGACAACUUGAGUGGAGUGUUUAUUUUAUUUUUCCUUUUUUACUUCAUUAAAAAAUAUGCAAGCUAAAAAAAAAAAAAAA